rnacentral:rRNA from 1 species
ACACAUGCAAGUCGUACGAGAAAGUGGAGCAAUCCAUGAGUAAAGUGGCGACCGGGUGAGUAACACGUGACUACCUACCUUCUAGUGGGGGAUAACUCCGGGAAACCGGAGCUAAUACCGCAUAACAUCGCAAGAUCAAAGCAGCAAUGCGCUGGAAGAGGGGGUCGCGGCUGAUUAGCUAGUUGGUAGGGUAAUGGCCUACCAAGGCAAAGAUCGGUAUCCGGCCUGAGAGGGCGCACGGACACACUGGAACUGAAACACGGUCCAGACUCCUACGGGAGGCAGCAGUGGGGAAUUUUGCGCAAUGGGGGAAACCCUGACGCAGCAACGCCGCGUGGAGGAUGAAGUCCUUUGGGACGUAAACUCCUUUCGACCAAGACGAUAAUGACGGUACUGGUG